rnacentral:misc_RNA from 1 species
CUUGAAACUGUGAGAAACCAGUGAAUGUGUUCUUGGAGCUUCAGAAGCUGGAUGCCCUUGAGCCUCUUCAGCAAGUCGCCUUAGAAGAUUCAUAAGGGUAGGAAGGAACCUUGAAGAAAUGGAAAGUAUCCCAGCCAAAGUGCCAUUACGGAACUCUCCUGCGAUGUCCAUUUGUACCCAUAAGGCCUUUGAAAGUAAAAAAACAAUGAACAGAAUCAUGAGGUAAAGAGGAUUCUUUAAUAGAAGCAUGAAUUCAUU